rnacentral:pre_miRNA from 1 species
GCUCUCGAGACUUCGUCUCAGACCUAAGCACCGAUGAUCGAAGGUGAGCAAAGUCUCGAGUGCGU